rnacentral:rRNA from 1 species
AGUGAACGCUGGCGGUAGGCCUAACACAUGCAAGUCGAACGGCAGCACAGUAAAAGCUUGCUCUUACGGGUGGCGAGUGGCGGACGGGUGAGGAAUACAUCGGAAUCUACUUUUUCGUGGGGGAUAACGUAGGGAAACUUACGCUAAUACCGCAUACGACCUACGGGUGAAAGCAGGGGAUCUUCGGACCUUGCGCGAUUGAAUGAGCCGAUGUCGGAUUAGCUAGUUGGCGGGGUAAAGGCCCACCAAGGCGACGAUCCGUAGCUGGUCUGAGUGGAUGAUCAGCCACACUGGAACUGAGACACGGUCCAGACUCCUACGGGAGGCAGCAGUGGGGAAUAUUGGACAAUGGGCGCAAGCCUGAUCCAGCCAUACCGCGUGGGUGAAGAAGGCCUUCGGGUUGUAAAGCCCUUUUGUUGGGAAAGAAAAGCAGCAGGUUAAUACCCCGCUGUUCUGACGGUACCCAAAGAAUAAGCACCGGCUAACUUCGUG